CUUCUNAGAGGGACUAUCGGUGUUUAACCGAUGRAAGUUUGAGGCAAUAACAGGUCUGNGAUGCCCUUAGAUGUUCUGGGCCGCACGCGCGCUACACUUGAUGAAGUCAUCGAGUUCAUUUNCUUCAUCGGAAGAUGUGGGUAAUUCUUUUGAAACUUUCAUCGGUGCUGGGGGAUAGAGCAUUGCAAUUAUUGCUCUUGAACGAGGAAUCCCUAGUAAGCACAAGUCAUCAGCUUGUGCUGAUUACGUCCCUGCCCUUUGUACACACCGCCCGUCGCUACUACCGAUUGAAUGGCUUANUGAGGC
rnacentral:rRNA from 1 species